rnacentral:rRNA from 1 species
UACGGGGGGGGGUAAGCGUUGUUCGGAAUUACUGGGCGUAAAGGGCUCGUAGGCGGCCAACUAAGUCAGACGUGAAAUCCCUCAGCUUAACUGGGGAACUGCGUCUGAUACUGGAUGGCUUGGAUUUGGGAGAGGGAUGCGGAAUUCCUGGUGUAGCGGUGAAAUGCGCAGAUAUCAGGAAGAACACCCGUGGCGAAGGCGGUUCUCUGGGACGGUACUGACGCUGAGACGCGAAAGCGUGGGGGAGCGAACAGG